rnacentral:lncRNA from 1 species
CAACAGUUUUACAUAAAGGAAGCAAGGCUAAGGGUUCUUUUAAUUGCUGCUGCAAAGUGACUAGGCACUGAAUAUAUUCUAUUCAGCAGCAGAAACUAAAAACCUUGUCAAAAUCAUGCUGUUUUGGAGACAGGCUGAAUGACUUCCACAGCAUCAACAAAAGCCACAGCAUGAGGGCAGCGGAUCUACUGUGCUUAAGAAAGCCCAAUCCACCUGACCUGGGAGAUGCCAUAAAGACCCAUCAUCCCCUGGAUUUCACCAGUCUUAUUAUCAAUAUAGAUGUCAGCAAACCAGGUCAGAAUCAGCAUGGACUUAGCUUGUUAAGAUGUGAAUCUGUAGACCUGAAUGCCUGUUGAGAUAAAAUGAUCAUGGGCACUCACACCAAGACAGAGAUGAAUGGCAGCUGGGAGAAUAUGAUCUUCUUGGGCCAUCCUUGUAGACGUUAUUCCAGAAGUCUAUUAUAUAGGCCUCUAGAAUUGUGGUUUAUUGUGAAGAAGACUGAGACCAGCUUGAUUUUUCCUCAUAUGUGAUUUUCUCUUCUACCUGAGUGCAUGUUUUAUUUCAUUCCUGAGAUUCAGAGACAAGGGGCCUUAUAACAACCUUUACCAAAGAAUCUCCAGCAUCCCUCUUAGCUUUGCAGCUCUGUUCUCACCUUUACUUCUCCUUUGUUUCUGUAAUUUCAUUUAUGCAAUAUUUCUCUUUUUUCUACAAGUCUUCUGCUCCUUUUCAGCUUGUUGUUGUUAUUCCUAUUUGAGGCAUAGUGACGAGUUCAAAUCACUUGCUUGAUUUGCACAUAUAUGAGAUAAUGAGUAUUCACUGGACUGUAUUUAGUGUUUCUGGAUGUAAUCAUGUGUUUCCUGUUUACUUCACAAUAUUGGCACUUCUAGGUGAAAAGGUGCUAUGAGAGGCAACGGAUAAAUAAAGAAACAUUAGAAGCCAGUACUUACUGU